rnacentral:lncRNA from 7 species
GUGUGACUGGGAAUGAAGGUGCUCCAGCUUCCCCUCUGAGUUCCAGGACUGAAACUCCGGCAGAUCACAUGGGUAUGUCAUGGCUUUUUAGUUCCUUUGAGAGCUGCCAGCUCAAAGGCCAAAUGUCGGCCAGGUCUGUCUGCAGGUGUGAGAGCGUAGUCCUGUGCGUGUAUGCCCUUUCCUUGCACGAUCCCCUGGUAUGCUCCACUAUUCAGUGAUGCCGUUGUGCACGGAAACUUUUCAUGGGUCUUUGGUUGCAGAAGUGCCCCCAGGGAGGGCCUUGCUGGUUUCUCGGCUCCUUCCUGCGAUGGAGACCAGUUGGAAUCCCAUGGGGUCCGCAAAGAGGAAAUAGAGGAAAGGAUACACCUAGAAGAGGGAAGUACUACUGGUGGUCAUCCCGUGUCCUAAAGGAACCUGUGAAGAAAAUGGAGAAGGCAGCGCAUGGUGGGACUAAAGGGACUGACCAAGAGACUGUGCAGAAGGAGCCAUUGCAGGAAAGCAGCAGUGACACACGGCCAGUCUCUGACAGAAAAACACAGGCAGAACAAGCAGCUGGAUUGCCAGGGGUGGAUGUUGGGAAAAUCACAACGGCCGCUGUUGGCGAAGAGCUGCGAAAACACCACAUCCCAGUGAUUGCUGUGGUCUCCGCUGUGCUGCUGUCCGUGCUGAUGCUGGCCUGUGUUCCUAUGCUGUGGAUGUGGAAAAAAUAUCUGGCACGCAAGACAGAGCGGACAGCAGCAAGACAAGCUGACUGGGAGAGAGAUCAAAACAGAGAUGAAGGCAGAGCGGAGCUGGGGGAGGCUGCAAAGGAGGAUGUCCUCGACCAAGGAAAAAUCAUCUCCAGGGCAUUCUCCUGGUCCUUUGAAGCAGAAUUUGCUGACCUGUGCAACAGAAUCAGAGCAGACCCCUCCCUUCAGCCCACGCAUCCCUGCAGCUCUCCUACUGUCAACGUCUCUUCCCUCAGUAGCUGCAGCUCUCAGGAUACCCCCUGAGCCAUCCAGUGCCCCUGUUACCGGUGCCAAGAAGGCUCGGGUUCAUUGGAGGGUCCCACUUUGUGAUUAAUAAAGACAUUCCAU